GUAGUACCGCCGGGGGUAGAGCACUGUUUCGGCUAGGGGGUCAUCCCGACUUACCAACCCGAGGCAAACUCCGAAUACCGGUGAGUAACGCGUGGGAGACACACGGCGGGUGCUAACGUCCGUCGUGAAAAGGGAAACAACCCAGACCGUCAGCUAAGGUCCCGAAAUCCUGGUUAAGUGGGAAACGAUGUGGGAAGGCUCAGACAGCUAGGAGGUUGGCUUAGAAGCAGCCAUCCUUUAAAGAAAGCGUAAUAGCUCACUAGUCGAGUCGGCCUGCGCGGAAGAUGUAACGGGGCUAAACCAGGUACCGAAGCUACGGGUUCAUUCUUAGGAAUGAGCGGUAGAGGAGCGUCGUGUAAGCCGAUGAAGGUGGAUUGAGAAGUCUGCUGGAGGUAUCACGAGUGCGAAUGCUGACAUGAGUAACGAUAAAGGGCGUGAAAAACGCCCUCGCCGGAAGACCAAGGGUUUCUGUUCGACGCUAAUCGGAGCAGAGUGAGUCGGCCCCUAAGGCGAGGCCGAAAGGCGUAGUCGAUGGGAAACGGGUCAAUAUUCCCGUACCGGACAUGGUUGCGAUGGGGGGACGAAGAAGGCUAGGUGAGCCAGGCGUUGGUAGUCCUGGUGAAAGUGAGUAGGCUGAGGGUUUAGGUAAAUCCGGACCCUUUUAAGGCCGAGACACGAAACGAACUGACCACGGUCAGGAAGUCACUGAUGCCACGCUUCCAGGAAAAGCCUCUAAGCUUCAGAUCAUGUGCGACCGUACCCCAAACCGACACAGGUGGUCAGGGUGAGAAUCCCAAGGCGCUUGAGAGAACUCGGGUGAAGGAACUAGGCAAAAUGGUGCCGUAACUUCGGGAGAAGGCACGCCGGCGUAGGGUGAAGAGACUUGCUCUCCUAGCCCGAACCGGUCGAAGAUACCAGGUGGCUGCAACUGUUUAUUAAAAACACAGCACUCUGCUAACGCGCAAGCGGACGUAUAGGGUGUGACGCCUGCCCGGUGCCGGAAGGUUAAAUGAUGGUGUUAGCGCUUGCGCGAAGCUCUUGAUUGAAGCCCCGGUAAACGGCGGCCGUAACUAUAACGGUCCUAAGGUAGCGAAAUUCCUUGUCGGGUAAGUUCCGACCUGCACGAAUGGCGUAAUGAUGGCCACGCUGUCUCCACCCGAGACUCAGUGAAAUUGAAAUCGCCGUGAAGAUGCGGUGUACCCGCGGCUAGACGGAAAGACCCCGUGAACCUUUACUAUAGCUUCACACUGGACGCUGAUGUUGCCUGUGUAGGAUAGCUGGGAGGCUUAGAAACCCGGACGCCAGUUCGGGUGGAGCCAACCUUGAAAUACCAGCCUGGCAUCAUUGGCGUUCUCACUCAG
rnacentral:rRNA from 1 species